UACGUAGGGUGCAAGCGUUAAUCGGAAUUACUGGGCGUAAAGCGUGCGCAGGCGGUUAUGUAAGACAGAUGUGAAAGCCCCGGGCUUAACCUGGGAAUGGCAUUGGAAACUGGCGGGCUUGAGUGCGGCAGAGGGGGGUGGAAUUCCGCGUGUAGCAGUGAAAUGCGUAGAGAUGCGGAGGAACACCGAUGGCGAAGGCAGCCCCCUGGGUCGACACUGACGCUCAGGCACGAAAGCGUGGGGAGCAAACAGG
rnacentral:rRNA from 1 species